CUGUGACAGGCAGCCCUCACGGUAAUCUCCCCUGUCAAGCUGGAGUCAAGGAGGCUGAUUUAACAAUUCGAUGUACACGUUCUCAGUUGCAGAAAGAGAGCAGUAGGGUGCAAAGGCAGUUCGCCAGUUACAGCAGCGGGUCCGCUGAACGAUAACGAAGAGGUAGGUGAGAUAACGCUGACCAGGGUGAUAAGAUGAAGAAGCGUACUUCAUGAGUUGUAACCGAAAAACAACUGGCAUUUGGAAAGUUUGAG